GCGCAUGAGACGAAUUAUUUGCAGAUACUUCUAUCAUAAACGUGAGAAGCAACGUAUAUUAUAUUUAUACAAUAGCUUGCUCCGAAAGAGAAAGACGGUUCGCGAAGUAAUGCGAAGGACUGCGGAAUCUAAUGUGCAUAAGCAGCGAAUACGUCGACGGAUGAACCUUUUAUUGUUUCUUCGAUUACAAUGGCCAAAUUAUUGCAGUUGGUAUAAAUUCUGUGCUGCCGCUCGCCUUAAGUGUUUGAUUUGUGAUGGAUUGGAAGAUAACAAUUUCAUUAUUUGCAAAAACCCCAAAUGUCAAAUGGGAUAUUGUUACGAGUGUUGGAGAGAUCUUGGAGUAUUGUGCAUAUCCUGCCAA